UCUUUGGUUUUGCCUUUGCUGACUGCUGAUCUGAUCGUCUCAAGUCUGGUGACCUGCUGCAGAAUACCCUCUCCCUCUAUCAUUAACAAGCAAUUCAGUCUGUCCUAUCACUCUCCCUCUCCCUGCUCCAUCUUUUUGACAAGCCAUUCUAUCUUCUAUCAUUUCUCCGCCAUGAGCUCUAUCUAAGUUGACAAGCUUGAACCUGAGUUGAAACGCAAUCCUGUGACUUGAAAUCAAGUUUUACCAGAAUCUAAGUUUUUGAAUUGAAGUUACCAGAACUUCGUCGAUCUGUUUUCAGAAUUCUGAGAGAUCUCUGCUCUCACUGCUCCAUCUUUCCUGUCGUUAAACUCUCUCACAUCCAGUCAUUUUGCUGGAAAUCACAAGUAGAAACUUGAAAUUACAGUAGUAGAAUUACACUACAGUAGAACUCACAGUAGAAACUACUUACACAGUCCUACAUUUGUCAUUUUAAUUUUUACAUUACACUUUGGAAUAAACACUGAUAGCUUGGCUUACGUGUGCAGUUACUUUGAUAAAUUAUAUAAAAUACACACCUUUUUCAAGGUUUAUUUGUAAUAAGAUAAUCUGGUUAUUUUGUAAUACAUACAUUCAGACUGUUAUAUUCACAUAGAUAAUAAAUUGGAUUCAAAUAUAUUUUUCAAGUCUGUUUCAUUGGCUAUAACAUUUGACUGCAAGUUUAUACUAUUAUUAUUUAAGGACAAACCCUUUUUGUCACUCUGUAAGUAUUCAGUUACAAUUGUCAUCUAGAGGCUGCCCUGAGAACCCAGACUUCCUGUUUCCUGACUGCUGCCCUGAGAACCCAGACUUCCUGUUUCCUGACUGCUGCAGAACAUCCAGCUGAAGAAUCUUCAUCGCCUGUCAUCUGAUCACCACACCAUCACUCAUAUUUGCUUAAAGUAUUAGAUAUCUUAAAGAUUUACACAAAGUCUACUUAAAAGUUAAGAGUUUUAUUAUAGACUGUUGAUUGUUGAGAUUUAUUCUGUAUAUUGCUUUACAGAAGUAUAGACCUAUUUGUUAUCCAGUCUGGUUAAAAAAAAUAGAAGUAACAAUAUACAGUUUUUGAAAAAGCUACAAUAAAACUGUUUUUAAAGAACUUUCAAUAAGUUUUAUAUAGAGUUUGUAUUUAAGUCAGCCUUUUACAUCAAUUACAUAGUUAUAAGAACACUUUACCAUUUGUAUAGUUUUACAUUUCUCCAUUUAAUAGAUUAGUUUUUCAGUGUAUACAGGUUGAAUUUUG
ensembl:lncRNA